rnacentral:lncRNA from 1 species
CUGGCUUGCAGGAGGAGCAGCCACCAAUGGGAAGGAUGGAGUUAAAUUCCAUAGAGGUGUACAGAGCGGAGAUGGGGCAGGCAGCUCUGCAGAUGAAGAUGUCUCACGAGCAGCACGUCGGACCUGAACGCGUGUUUGUGUGGUUCCCCUGCCACCAGCACAACGGGAGCUACACGGCGGCCAGCCAUGCAGAGCCAACAAGAAAAGCCUGCUGAAGAAAGGCACCGGCACUGACAAUACCCGUUUGCAGGACGGAUUAAGCUUAGAGCAGUGUCUGGGCUUUGUGAAGGGGCAGCUCUGAGCUCCGUGCACGCAGCGUGGUGGCAGAAGGCUACAAAAGCUGGGAUCCCACACAGCCCUAUUGCCAAGCAGGGCUAACCCGGCCCGUGCGAGGCUCAGUCCCCAUCACUGCCAGGACCUGCCACCUCCUGCCCUGCCCUGCCCUCUCCCAGUGC